UGAGGAUAAUACCGGAUAGGGAACAAUGUGUGGAAUCCUAUUGUUCCAGAAAGCUUAGGCGCUUCACGAUCGGUCGGCGGCCCAUCAGGUAGUUGGUGAGGUAAUGGCUCACCAAGCCUAAGACGGGUAGGGGCCAUGAGAGUGGUUGCCCCGAGAAGGUCACUGAGAUACUGGACCUAGCCCUAAGGGGUGCAGCAGUCGCGAAAACUUCGCAAUGCGCGGAAGCGUGACGAGGGGAUUCUGAGUGCUUACGGUUAAUCCGUAGGCUUUUCGUUAGGGCAAAUACCUAGCGGAAUAAGUGGUGGGCAAGACUGGUGCCAGCCGCCGCGGUAACCCCAGCGCCACAAGUGGGAACCACGCUUAUUGGGUCUAAAGCAUCCGUAGCCGGUCCGGCAAAUGCCCUGUGAAAUCGUUGCGCUCAACGUAACGACGUGCAGGGUAGACUACCAGACUAGGGACCAGGGGAGGGAGACGGUAUUCCUGAGGGAGCGGUAAAAUGUGAUAAUCUCAGGAGGACCACCGAUGGCGAAGGCAGUCUUCCAAAAUGGAUCCGACGGUGAGGGAUGAAAGCUAGGGGAGCGAUCCGGAUUAGAUACCCGAGUAGUCCUAGCCGUAAACGCUG
rnacentral:rRNA from 1 species